rnacentral:lncRNA from 1 species
UAUAAAAAUUUAAGAUAAUAGAACAACGUAUGUGAUUGAUAACUUUCAAACUUUAUGGUAUCUUAAUAUCUGUAGUUGAAAAUUAGAAUUUUUCUGAACAAAAACCUAUCGCAUCGUUUGCCUCUACUUUCGAAAUUCUGUUUUUUGUUAAAGACAAUAAGCUCAAUGACAAUUGUAGUAUGUAAGACAUUUUAUGAUAUUCUUUUGUGGAGUAAAUAA